UACGUAGGGGGCAAGCGUUGUCCGGAAUCAUUGGGCGUAAAGCGCGUGUAGGUGGCUUGGUAAGUCCGGUGUGAAACCUUGGGGCUCACCCCCAAGCCUGCAUCGGAUACUGCCUCGCUUGAGUUCGGGAGGGGAGAGCGGAAUUCCUAGUGUAGCGGUGAAAUGCGUAGAUAUCGGGAGGAACACCUGUGGCGAAAGCGGCGCACUGGACCAUAACUGACGCUGAUGCACGAAAGCUAGGGAAGCAAACAGG
rnacentral:rRNA from 1 species